rnacentral:rRNA from 1 species
CCCUUAGAUGUCCUGGGCCGCACGCGCGCUACACUGAUGCAUUCAACGAGUUUUACCUUGGCCGAGAGGCCUGGGCAAUCUUUUAAACCUGCAUCGUGAUAGGGAUAGAUUAUUGCAAUUAUUAAUCUUGAACGAGGAAUUCCCAGUAAACGCAAAUCAUCAAUUUGCAUUGAUUACGUCCCUGCCCUUUGUACACACCGCCCGUCGCACCUACCGAUUGAAUGGUCCGGUGAAGCCUCGGGAUUGUGGCCAGUUCACUUUAUUGGGAGUUGGCUGUGAGAACUUGUCUAAACCUUAUCAUUUAGAGGAAGGUGAAGUCGUAACA